rnacentral:siRNA from 1 species
GCAUGGUAACUAACUAACUAUA